GCAGGUCCGGCUGCUGCAGCAGCAUGACGAGCACAGAGCCCGCGCGGAAGUGCUCCGCCUUGCCGAAGAAGUGAUGGAAGUGCGUGGACAGCGUCUCGAACGUGUUGGUACAAGCCUCCUCCGAGAUGAUGCCCAGCAGGUAGUUCCUGGGAGCCCAGGGGGGAUCUUCCUCCACAUACGGGUCAUGGUAUUCGACCACCGCAGAGUCCCCCUCGGCCCCCUGGACGUCGUCAUCCUGGGGGGCCCGAGCGGAUGCCGUCUCUUCCGAAGCCGGUUGGAGGGAUGUUGCCCCGUCUGAGACUGAAGGUCAGACCACGGACAGACAAACAAUCCUCACGACCUCCUCAUCUACAGGCAACCCGUCAGGUAGUGGCGCCAGGACGGGUCCAAAGUCGGCUUGAGCCACGGCGUCGUGACAUGACAACAGGGCCUAAGACCAUGAGAAGAUGGUGAGGGCUGGCCUCAAGGACCUAGCAGGGGACCAGAUGGAGGACCUUCAUGUGCGGAGAGCUCAGGAGGAUCUGAAGCUCUGUGGCCUCCACAGAAGGAGUCUGGACCGUAUGCAGGACGCCCUGGACCUCGACAACAACACGGCACAGAACGCAGAGUUAGCAUCAGUCUUCUUUCUCUGCAGCGUGCGGCAAUGUGACGACUAUGCAUGUUGGUAAGGAAACACUUUAAUGAGCAUGUUUUUUAAAAAUCAUUUUAUUUUUGAGUUGCUUGUUAUUGUUGAAGUAAUUGUUGACGACAACCUCGCGUGAGAGUGCUGAGGCGUGAGACAGGAAAGGGCGGGGCCAGAGUCUUUUGAACGUCAACAGGCACUCGUAAAUCUGGAGAUGGAGAAAAGAGGAAGUGAUGUCAUAAAAUGACGGCCCACGCGCGCGAGUGCACGCCCCGCCUCCUGAUUGGAAACGUACCUGCAGCAGGGCAUGUAGCCACUGAGUGCUCAGGAGUUCAUGAAGGAGAUGAGCGCCAAUGACGUUUCUGCUGACCGCCUCGUUGACAUCGUCCACCACCAUGGACAACAACUCAAUGACGCCUGCGUAUGGAAACACACACGCACACACACACACACACUACACUAGUAGGUUAUAUGAGUUGGAUAAAAACACUAGGAAUGAUUUAAAAUGGCUACUUAAAGGGGAAAAAUGGCAGACUUCCUGUGUCUUCCUUCAGUCAUGGCUUCUUGAAACUUUUUGGUGAGUCUACUCACAUGACCAAGUCAUUCAAUCUUCAGCAUGACAUAUGGUUCGACUUUGCUAGAGAUCAGCUUCAAGCAAAUAUUGAGGUCAGACAAAUGGACCCAAAUUGACUCUAACAUGGCGGCUUCCAAGAGAAAUGAAAUUUCCUACCAUCCUCCUCCGUGUGCGUCAUGACGGCUGUCUUCUUUCACCAUUAGCACGCUCUGGAAAACAAAGCACACCAACAUUUCGCGGUAGAAUAGAGAUGAACUUUCAAUGUAGAAGGAUUUUGUUCCACCAGAAGGCGCCAUAGAGCUACACGGACACAAAUAGAGUUGAGCUUCCCUCAGCGGGGCUCUAAAUGGGGAGCCAUGUCAACUUUAGCUUUCUUAUCUCAGCCUCAUUCCAAGAACUCGCUCAGUUAUGAUGAGUAAAAGCUCACGAGUCUUCAUUUGACUUAAAAAGUUCAUACACUCUACAAUAUAUCGUGUUAGUUUAAUUUUUUUUCAAUGUGACUCAAGUAGUGACUGGAACUUUUUUCAUUUCGCUAUACGGGAUGUGACUGACCCGACCGGCCCGCUGACAGAAUCAGAAUGAACAGAAUCAAAUUUUCCACUUUAAAAUUGACUGUCCUUGAAUCAUAUCGCACCCUAUGUAUCAAGAUACGUGUCAAAUUGCCUUUCAUUGGAGAGAGCCAAACUCCUAAUUCUGUUUUAUUUUAUUUUAUUCUUAUUUUGAAACGAAGAAUUCUGACUGUUCUUACGAUUAUGUAAUAAUUAUGAGAAUGUUAAAAUCCCUUGAGGGUUUUUGUGUGUGUGUGUGUCAAAUUGAUCGAUAACGAUAAUCGUCAACCGUCAAUUAAAAACAUUUGAUUUCAAAGGAUAGUGCAUGCCAUGUGAUCAGUCCCUGCGUAAAAUUAAGGCAAUUUCCUUCAUAUUCGAUACAUUUUUCAGAUGAAAAACAUUUGUGACUCUACACUCACAAUGAAAUUAUUAUGAACGGUUAUUUUUUAAAAUAGAAUAUUUUAAAAAUGAGAAAAAAUAGACCAAUUCUUCUGCGUGCUAUGUUAGCAUUUAGCUGGAAAAGGAGCAGUGAAGGAUGUGUUCUCAAGUUUCGACUUACCUUGUGGUCUUCUCGCUGGACACUCACGCCGAUGUUUGCUGUUUUGAAUGCCAAGGUUACUUAAAACAGAGGCCGGCUAAUCUUUAAGCCUUUAAACUCUCGCUCUCACACAUCCGCAACCACAUGCGCACACACUUUGUAAAUAGAAGCAUGAACCACUAGGGGGCAAUGUUGUAAUAUUUUUAAAAACGCUUUUUUAUUGCGUCCAAACUCGAGGGUUACUUCGAUUAAGUCUAUGUAGAAUAUAGUGAUAAAAAAUAUUUGUACAAAAAAACCUAUAAACUGUUUCAAAUAAAAACCUGUUAAAAAUACAACAGUAACCAUUUGAAAAAAAAAUACCUGGUUUUAAAAAU